UACGGAGGUAGCGACCGUUAGUCGGAAUUACUGGGCGUAAAGGGUGCGUAGGUGGUUGAUUAAGUUAUCUGUGAAAUUCCUGGUCAUAACCUGGGAAGGUCAGAUAAUACUGGUUGACUCGAGUAUGGGAGAGGGUAGUGGAAUUUCCGGUGUAGCGGUGAAAUGCGUAGAGAUCGGAAGGAACACCAGUGGCGAAGGCGGCUACCUGGCCUAAUACUGACACUGAGGCACGAAAGCGUGGGGAGCAAACAGG
rnacentral:rRNA from 1 species